rnacentral:rRNA from 1 species
AUACGUAGGGGGCAAGCGUUAUCCGGAUUUACUGGGUGUAAAGGGAGUGUAGGUGGUUCGGUAAGUCAGAUGUGAAAGCCCGGGGCUCAACCCCGGGAUUGCAUUUGAAACUAUCGUACUAGAGUGCAGGAGAGGUAAGUGGAAUUCCUAGUGUAGUGGUGAAAUGCGUAGAUAUUAGGAGGAACACCAGUGGCGAAGGCGGCUUACUGGACUGUAACUGACACUGAGGCUCGAAAGCGUGAGGAGCAAACAGGAUUAGAUACCCUGGUAGUCCACGCCAUAAACGAUGAAUACUAGGUGUCGGGGGUCAAAAGACCUCCGGUGCCGCAGCUAACGCAAUAAGUAUCCCACCUGGGGAGUACGUUCGCAAGAAUGAAACUCAAAGGAAUUGACGGGG